AUUGAACGCUGGCGGCAGGCCUAACACAUGCAAGUCGAGCGGCUCGGCGGACGGGUGAGUAAUACCAAGGUAUCUGCCUGGUAGUGGGGGAUAACGUUAGGAAACGGACGCUAAUACCGAAUACUAUCAGAUGAGCCUAGGUCGGAUUAGCUAGUUGGUGAGGUAAUGGCUCACCAAGGCUACGAUCCGUAACUGGUCUGAGAGGAUGAUCAGUCACACGUGAACUGAGACACGGUCCAGACUCCUACGGGAGGCAGCAGUGGGGAAUAUUGGACAAUGGGCGAAAGCCUGAUCCAGCCAUGCCGCGUGUGUGAAGAAGGUCUUCGGGUUGUAAAGCACUUUAAGUUGGGAGGCGUUACCGACAGAAGAAGCACCGGCUAACUCUGUGCCAGCAGCCGCGGUAAUAC
rnacentral:rRNA from 1 species